rnacentral:rRNA from 1 species
GUGCCAGCCGCCGCGGUAAUACAGAGGUCCCAAGCGUUGUUCGGAUUCACUGGGCGUAAAGGGUGCGCAGGUGGUCGGGUAAGUCUGAUGUGAAAUCCCGCAGCUUAACUGCGGAAUGGCAUUGGAUACUAUUCGGCUAGAGGGUUGGAGGGGGGACUGGAAUUCUCGGUGUAGCAGUGAAAUGCGUAGAUAUCGAGAGGAACACCAGUGGCGAAGGCGAGUCCCUGGACAACUCCUGACGCUGAGGCACGAAAGCUAGGGGAGCAAACAGGAUUAGAAACCCGCGUAGUCC